AUUGAACGCUGGCGGCAAGCCUAACACAUGCAAGUCGAGCGGCAGCGGGAAAGUAGCUUGCUACUUUUGCCGGCGAGCGGCGGACGGGUGAGUAAUGCCUGGGGAUCUGCCCAGUCGAGGGGGAUAACUACUGGAAACGGUAGCUAAUACCGCAUACGCCCUACGGGGGAAAGCAGGGGACCUUCGGGCCUUGCGGGAUUGGAUGAACCAGGGUGGGAUUAGCCAGUUGGUGAGGUAAUGGAUCACCAAGGCGACGAUCCCUAGAUGGUCUGAGAGGAUGAUCAACCACACUGGAACGGAGACACGGUCCAGACUCCUACGGGAGGCAGCAGUGGGGAAUAUUGCACAAUGGGGGAAACCCUGAUGCAGCCAUGCCGCGUGUGUGAAGAAGGCCUUCGGGUUGUAAAGCACUUUCAGCGAGGAGGAAAGGUUGGUAGCUAAUAACUGCCAGCUGUGACGUUACUCGCAGAAGAAGCACCGGCUAACUCCGUGCCAGCAGCCGCGGUAACAC
rnacentral:rRNA from 1 species